GACGAACGCUGGCGGCGUGCUUAACACAUGCAAGUCGAGCGGUAAGGCCCUUUCGGGGGUACACGAGCGGCGAACGGGUGAGUAACACGUGGGUGACCUGCCCUCAGCUCUGGGAUAAGCCUGGGAAACCGGGUCUAAUACUGGAUAUGACUCCAUGACGCAUGUUGUGGGGUGGAAAGCCUUGUGCGGCUGAGGAUGGGCCCGCGGCCUAUCAGCUUGUUGGUGGGGUGAGGCCUACCAAGGCGACGACGGGUAGCCGGCCUGAGAGGGCGACCGGCCACACUGGGACUGAGACACGGCCCAGACUCCUACGGGAGGCAGCAGGUGGGGAAUCUUGCGCAAGUGGGCGAAAGCCUGACGCAGCGACGCCGCGUGA
rnacentral:rRNA from 1 species